rnacentral:lncRNA from 1 species
GGUCAGAGUUCUAAGUCUCGAGAGCUGCAGGGAUACCGUGUCUCCAGCUGAUUGCACAGCAAGUGCAAAAACAUACAUCAGCAUGACUAGACCCUGUCCGUGGGUCUGGAGUCAGAGAUUCAGGAAUCUAGUUAUAUAAUCUUGCAAAGCCUCAGAUUGUAAAUAAGGAUAAUAAAUAUAUUUCAUAGAGUAGCUGGGAGAAUUAAAUUAGGAAAUAUGUGUAAAGUACGUAAUAUAUCAGCCAUGUGACUAAGGUCUUACACUUUUACUGAAUCACCACAUAUGUAUUAAGCACUGGCUUUGUGCCAAGCCCUGAGGUGCCAAUGGCAAGAUAAAUAGACAUGAUUCCUUUCUACCAGGAGAUUAUAUUUCGGUAAACUCAAUACGUGUUUGUAGUUUUUUACUAUUAUUAUACCGUUUAUCAGUUAUCUAUUGCUAUGUAAGCCUUAAAACUUACAGGCUUGAAACAAACCUUCUUAUCUUUGUUUCUAUAGGCCAGGAACUUGGGAGCCAUUUAAGCUGGUUGGUUCUUGCUCAGGGCCACUCAAGCUGAUGGCUGGAGUUGCAGAGUCAUCUGAAGGCUGGACUGAGGCUGAAAGAUCUGCUUCCAAGAUGGUGCCCUCACAUAGCUGCUGGCUGGAAGCCUUAGCCCUUCACCAUAAAGCCCUCUCUGUAAGGGUACCUGAGUCACCUCAUAAGGCAGCUGGCUUUCCCCAGAGAGGAAGACAGAGAAUCUAGGAAGGUGCCAGGGAUGAUUUCUCAUCCCAAAGCCCUGGGAGAAAUCCCAUCUCUGGGCAAGAAGAGAAUCUGAACGCAAAUGGAUGAAGAUGCUAAUGAGGCUCAGAUGAUGAGAGCACACUAGGCUCACAGCAUGCUGACAAAUCCAGAAACAGGCUAUGCUUCCCUCCCGCCUUCCUAAGACUUCAGCUAAGACACUGCACAUGCCCGUCCCUCUGCAGGAAGGCCAUCCACAGUUAUAUCUUGCUUUAAAAAAGCAAAACUUUGAAAAAUAAAAUGUACAAAAUUGGGUAGUUAUUUGCAUUAUAAAGCAAUUUCAUUUAUUUAAAC